UUUUUGUCCUACAGCUUUAAGAGGCUCUGUCUCGGCUCUUAGUUGUUGGCACACCUGUUCACCAUAAGUCAUCACAGCACAGCUCAUGGGCUGGGCUCCUCCAAAGGUGUUGGUGGGUCGAGCAGUCUGACGGAGGAACGUAGUCGGCCAUCUUGGAAAGAAGAAAAUGUUUUCUUCACACACGGAACAAGACGCCAAAGAGAGCCCAACACCUCAGUGCUCUCAGUUGGCUGAAGAUGCUCACUCAAGUGCAAACUUACUUGAGCACUACAGGUGUGAUCAGUGUAACAA